GCCCUGGUCCCUGAUAGCUCACUUGGUAGAGCAUGAGAUUCAGGGUUGUGGGUUCGAGACCCAUGUUGGGCA